GGGUGCUGCGGGACCUUUGCGCCCACACCUUUCGGGCCCUGAGUGUUGCAGCCCCUGAUCAUUCUCGUCCGCAGGUGUCUGGCCGGCCAAGAACAAACUCCUCCAUCGUCAGAUUCCCAAUCCUUGGAAGCCGAGAUGGGAAAGACGGGGGAGGGAGGAGGGAAAGCCCCUCACCUUGACUGUUCGCCCACGCACGUUCUCUCGCACUGUGCUGCCUCGGUUCACACGUGGGGAAAUUAACCGAGCCCGUAGUUAUUCACCUGGCGCGGAGGGUGACCCCAGCAAGGAGCGCGUGAACCAGGAGGCGAGUUCGGAGCACCCGAUCGAUCCGGAGCCUUUAUGAAGCUUUUACAGCGUCCCCAACAAUGCUUCCUCCUGGGCUCUGUCUGCACCAACACAGGAUUUACGCGACACCUGCUGUCUGCCUCCCCUACCGUGCGGUGUCUGGGGCACCCGACUCUGUCCCUAGGCUGAUGAAGGGCCUAUUUUUCCAAAGGAACAUUUGCCACGCAAGUACUGCGUGCUUAGCUGUGAUGUGGCAGGGAGAAGGGAGCCCAGAUGAAGCUGGACCCCCGCCGUCACCUGAGGAGCUAAGGAAAACAGGCUCUAAUCAGAUUAGUACUUGCCUGUAAGGAGCUGGGCGAGUCAUGCCCACUCACCGGGCUUUGGUGUCCCUUUCUCUUAAACAAAAGAAUGGGAUUAGCAGUUCUUUGCUUGGAAAUACCGGUGGCAGUUGAAGAGCAACGUGUGUCUCCCCUCUUUAAAAUAAAUGUUAACGUGAAGUUAAA